AAAUCUCACGAUAGCUGCAAGCAUUGCCGGCGAGAGGUAAACUGGUUUGGGAAAAUAGUACUAUGUCUACAAACUAGAAGAUUACUAGAUCAUACCUGUCCAGUCCACAUCAUACCCUAUGUCUACUAAAGAUGAAAGUCGAGAAAGAGACGGAGAGAGGAAGAGAGAGAGAGAGAAAGACAGGAUUCCCAUGAAAGACAGGUGGUGGGGAACAAAGGAACAGAACUUAGAGGUCCAACAAUGGGAUAAAGGAGCUCAUUUUGUACCUAUUUUACCAACUCCUUUGUGGUUCUCCAAAUGCUUACAUUCAUCCUCAUUGCAAAGCAUCCAGAGACAUUUGCUCAUUUCUCUAUAAAAAGUAACAACCUUAGAGACUUAAGUCAAAGGAGGCAAUCUAGGAUUGUUAUGUCUCAUGACAAAGGUGGAUUAAUGUGUCGAAUUUGAAUAAAACAUUAUAACAAAGAAUUA